AGCGAACGCUGGCGGCAGGCUUAACACAUGCGAGUCGAGCGGGCAUCCUUGGGGUGUCCGCGGCAGACGGGUGAGGAACGCGUGGGAACGUGCCCUACGUUUCGGAAUAACUCAGGGAAACUUGAGCUAAGACCGGAUACGUGCGAGAGCAGAACGGUUUAUCUGCCGAAGGAUCGGCCCGCGUCUGCUUAGUUAGUUGGUGACGUAAUGGCUCACCAAGGCGUCGAUCAGUAGCUGGUUAGGGAGGAUGAUCCGCCACCCUGGGACUGGGACACGGCCCGGACUCCUGCGGAAGGCAGGAGUGGUGAAUAUUGGACGCCGGGGGCAAGCCUGAGCCAGCCGUGCCGCGUGAGUGAUGUCGGCCUUAGGGUUGUAAAGCUCUUUUCUCCGGGCAGAUAGUGACGGUACCGGAGGAAUAAGCCCCGGCUAACUUCGUG
rnacentral:rRNA from 1 species